rnacentral:rRNA from 1 species
CACGUAGGUGGUUUGGUAAGUCGGAUGUGAAAGCCCCGGGCUUAACCUGGGAAUUGCAUUCGAAACUGCCUCACUAGAGUCUAGCAGAGGGAUGCGGAAUUCCGGGUGUAGCGGUGAAAUGCGUAGAGAUCCGGAGGAACAUCAGUGGCGAAGGCGGCAUCCUGGGCUAAGACUGACACUGAGGUGCGAAAGCGUGGGGAGCAAACA